rnacentral:lncRNA from 10 species
CAAAAUACAAGUCUAAGACCAAACACUAAACAGACGUUAAUGACCACACACACACACACACACACUCGUGCGCGCGUUUAGAAAAGAAUUUUUAUGCAUUUGUUCAUCUCUGUUUUUAGCCAAGGCUUGUUUGGGGCACUCUUGCUGUCUGUGGUAGAUGCUGUAGAGAACUGCCCUGAUCGCCCUUUGAGACUAAAUAACUGAUUUUCUCAACUGCUGAGAGGGUUGGCUGCUACGAGUUUCCUGCAGUUCAUGACCUCUUUCUAUGCAAUACUACUUCCUUCACCACUACGGAUGUUGUUUCCCAGACCAUUCCUUCUUUGAUAAGCAUCCAUUGUGAAAGUCUCCAUCUCAGAAGCUGUUUCCUGAUAAUCCUAAGCUAAGAUACUUCCUAUUUGUACUCAGCAAGGACUUGGCGGUUAUACAUUCAGGACUGGAGCUUGAGGCUUUGAAUGGGUCUCAGCUCUACUAGAGCUCUUACAGUACCUGCUUCUCACAGUGUGAUGAUUCAAGCUCCCUGGUGGAACAUGCUCCUCUGCAGAAGGGAAUGAGAGAGAAUGAGCUUCACCAUCUUCCUUUCUAUCUUGCCCAGGAUUUAGCCACCUGAGUGGCUCAAGCUUUCUCAGAAAGGAGUCUCGCUCUGACGCCCAGGCUGGAGUGCAGUGGUGCGAUCUCCGUUCACUGCAAGCUCUACCUCCCUGGUUCACGCCAUUCUCCUGCCUCAGCUUCCCGAGCAGCUGGGACUACAGGCGCCCGCCACCAUGCCUGGCUAAUUUUUUGUAUUUUUAGUAGAGACGGGGUUUCACCGUGUUAGCCAGGAUGGGCUCGAUCUCCUGACCUCAUGAUCCACCCACCUUGGCCUCCCAAAGUGCUGGGAUUACAGGCUUGAACCACCGCGCCCGGCCAACUGAUUUUUAUAUUAACAUUGAUACUUAGAUGUAAGAUGGGUUUGUAUUUUUAAAACAUGUAUUCAUCAGCCUUUAUUUACUUUUUUUUUUUUUUUUUUUUUUUUUUUUUUUUGUGAGACAGAGUCUCACUCUGUCGCCUAGGCGGGAGUACAGUGGUGUGAUCUCGGCUCACUGCAACUUCUGCCUCCCAGGUUCAAGGGAUUCUCCUGACUCAGCCUCCCGAGUAGCUGAGAUUACAGCCAUGCGCCAUCACACGUUACUAAUUUUUGUAUUUUUAGUAGAGAUGGGGUUUCACCGUGUUGGUCAGGCUGGUCUUGAAUUCCUGAUCUCAAAUGAUCCUCCUGCCUCUGCCUCCCAAAGUGCUGGGAUUACAGGUGUGAGCCACCACACCCAGGCUCAUUUACGUUUUAUUGUAUGUCAGUCCAGAUUCUCAUCUGGAAGAAAUAAAAACAUAUUCUGACUGAUAUUAGUGGAAAAUAGAUUCAUGAAAGUAUUUGGGAGGCUCACAGAACCUCCUGGAAUGCUCAGAACUAAACCAGGAGGCUACAUGCCCAAGAGCAAUGUUCCAAAGACCCUCUACAGCAUGGAGAAGAAGACGGCACAGCUGAUUUCCAGAUGUGGCUUGUGCUGCCAAUGCAAAGAACAUGGACUCUCAAUGGUACCACCACAUCUGCUGUCCUUGCUAUCUCUGGAAAUCCAAAAUAAAUGCAACCAAUUCUGCUGCUUGUUUUCAGAAUUUAUUUGGCAUGAAUCCUGGUUCUGGAAACACUGUCUUAUAGUCUUGGGUGGGUACAUCCGAUUGGAGGAGCCCUCCCCCAAUUAGCGUUUUUCAGAGAAACAGAGCCAUUACUAUGUAUGUAACUAUCUACAAUAUAUAUAAAUAGAAGAUAAUUUUUUAAUUUUUUAAUAUUUAUUUAUUUAUUUAAAUAAAGUUCUGUCGCCAGGCUGGAGUGCAGUGGUGCGAUCUCAACUCACUGCAACCUCCGCCUCCGGGGUUCAAGCGAUUCUACUGCUUCUGCCUGCCAAGUAGCUGGGACUAUAGGCACGUACCACCUCGCCCAGCUAAUUUUUGUUAUUUUUAGUAGAGACGGGGUUUCACCAUAUAGGCCAGGAUUGUCUCGUGUCUCGAUCUUUUGACCUCGUGAUCCGCCCGCCUCAGCUUCCCAAAGUGCUGGGAUUACAGGCCAUCGCGCCCGGCAGAAGAGAAAAUUUAUUAUGAGAAUUGGCUCAUGCAACUAUGGAGGUCGAAAAGUCCCAUGAUAUGUCAUCUGCAAACUGGAAACCCAGGAAAGUCUGAGGUGUAAUUCAGUUGUAAGACCUGAGAAGAGAGGGAGUAGGGAAUAGAGGAUUGGUGUAAGUCUCAAAGUCCUUUGACCUGUGAAACAAGGGCUGCAAUGUUUAUAGGGUAGGAGAAGAUAAUUGUCCCAGCUCAAGAAGAGAGAGAAAAUUUGCACUUCCUUCACCUUUCUAUUUGACCCUAAACAGACUGAAUCAUGUUCGCACACACUGGUGAUGGAUCUUCUUUACUCAGAUCACUGAUUCAAAUGUUAAUCUCUUCCAGAAACUCCCUCAAAGGCUCUCCAAGAAAUAACGCACUCCCUCAAAGGCACUCCUAGAAAUACCAGGUAUUUGGGUAUCUUUUAGUCCAGUCAAGUUGACACAUAAAAUUAACCAUCACACUCCCUGUGAUAUGGUUAUUAUUUCCUGCUUUUAACAUAUUGAUUUCUUCUCUCUGCUUUCCUCAUUUUUUCCUAUUAGUCUUUUUCUACCUUGGAUUGAGUGUUUACAUUCAUGUAUUUGAAAUUGAUUUCUUUUUCUUGUGUUCCAAAGAUUUUUGUAUGUAAUAUUUACAUAAUUUUUAUUUUCUAAAUUUUUGCAAUUUUGAUUUGAGAGUUUUUUUCUUAUUUCUACAUUUCUUUUUAG